rnacentral:rRNA from 1 species
UACGUAGGGUGCAAGCGUUGUCCGGAAUUAUUGGGCGUAAAGAGCUCGUAGGCGGUCAGUCGCGUCUGCUGUGAAAACUCGGGGCUUAACUCCGGGCCUGCAGUGGGUACGGGCUGACUAGAGUGCGGUAGGGGAGACUGGAAUUCCUGGUGUAGCGGUGAAAUGCGCAGAUAUCAGGAGGAACACCGGUGGCGAAGGCGGUUCUCUGGGCAUGAUCUGACGCUGAGGAGCGAAAGUGUGGGGAGCGAACAGG